rnacentral:tRNA from 1 species
UUUUGAUCUCUUUAAUGUAGGUUCAAGUCCCACCUUUCUA